CAUAGUGUAGCUUAACAUAAAGCAUCUGGCCUACACCCAGAAGAAUCCAUAACACAUGGACACUUUGA
rnacentral:tRNA from 1 species